UACGUAGGGGGCAAGCGUUGUCCGGAUUUACUGGGCGUAAAGGGCGCGUAGGCGGGAUGGCAAGUCGGUCGUGAAAUCCUUCGGCUCAACCGAAGAACGUCGGCCGAUACUGCCGUUCUUGAGGGAUGCAGAGGAGAUUGGAAUUCCCGGUGUAGCGGUGAAAUGUGUAGAGAUCGGGAGGAACACCGGUGGCGAAGGCGGGUCUCUGGGCAUCUCCUGACGCUGAGGCGCGAAAGCGUGGGGAGCAAACGGG
rnacentral:rRNA from 1 species